CUCAGGAUGAACGCUGGCGGCGUGCUUAACACAUGCAAGUCGAACGAAGCUCCCAGAUCUGAUGAUCGUCUGAAGUGAAGGGAAGACUUAGUGGCGGACGGGUGAGUAACGCGUGGGUAACCUGCCGUAUACAGGGGGAUAACAGUUAGAAAUGACUGCUAAUACCGCAUAAGCGCACAGUAAGGCAUCUUACAGUGUGAAAAAACUCCGGUGGUAUACGAUGGACCCGCGUCUGAUUAGCCAGUUGGCAGGGUAACGGCCUACCAAAGCGACGAUCAGUAGCCGGCCUGAGAGGGUGAACGGCCACAUUGGGACUGAGACACGGCCCAAACUCCUACGGGAGGCAGCAGGUGGGGAAUAUUGCACAAGUGGGGAAACCCUGAUGCAGCCGACGCCGCGUGAGUGAAGAAGCAUUUCGGUACGUAAAGCUCUAUCAGCAGGGAAGAAAAUGACGAUACCUGACUAAGAAGCCCCGGCUAACUACGUGCCAGCAGCAGC
rnacentral:rRNA from 1 species